rnacentral:rRNA from 1 species
AGUGAACGCUGGCGGUAGGCCUAACACAUGCAAGUCGAACGGCAGCACAGUAAGAGCUUGCUCUUACGGGUGGCGAGUGGCGGACGGGUGAGGGAUACAUCGGAAUCUACUUUUUCGUGGGGGAUAACGUAGGGAAACUUACGCUAAUACCGCAUACGACCUACGGGUGAAAGCAGGGGAUCUUCGGACCUUGCGCGAUUGAAUGAGCCGAUGUCGGAUUAGCUAGUUGGCGGGGUAAAGGCCCACCAAGGCGACGAUCCGUAGCUGGUCUGAGAGGAUGAUCAGCCACACUGGAACUGGGACACGGUCCAGACUCCUACGGGAGGCAGCAGUGGGGAAUAUUGGACAAUGGGCGCAAGCCUGAUCCAGCCAUACCGCGUGGGUGAAGAAGGCCUUCGGGUUGUAAAGCCCUUUUGUUGGGAAAGAAAAGCAGCAGGUUAAUACCCCGCUGUUCUGACGGUACCCAAAGAAUAAGCACCGGCUAACUUCGUG